CUGACCAGGAAGCGAUCUUCUGUUUAGAACUACAAUUAUGCAGAAGGUCUGCCUGUCUUCCUUUGAUAUUCACCUGUGAAAAGAAAAUGACAGGGUGAAACUAAGAUUAAGACAUAUUCAGAACUGAGAUUUAAGACUGGAACUCUACCAUCACCUUUCCUGGGUCUCCAGCAUGCCUAUUGUAGAUACUGGGGCUUCUCAGCCCUCAUAACUAUAAUUAUUCAAAGCCUUCAAAGGGUUCUGUGUAGCAAACAACAGACAUGAAACCUUGAACAAGAAAAUUGAAGGGAGCCUUAAUACAUUUAUCCUAUGUGAGACCAGCCAGAAUGAGGACUCCUCAAGGAC
rnacentral:lncRNA from 1 species